rnacentral:rRNA from 1 species
GUGAAUUCUGUCCAAGGUUAAAUACGGGUGAGAAACCAAUAGUAAACAAGUACCUCGAGGGAAAGAUGAAAAGGACUUGAAAAGAGAGUCAAAGAGUGCUUGAAAUUAUUGGGAGGGAAACAGAUAUGGGCCAGCGAUGCGCCCCAGUCAGAUGUGGAACGACAAUGAGCCGGUCCACUGAUCGACUUGGGGAGUGGACCAGCGUGGAUUGGGGGGGCGGCUAAAACCUGGGCUUUUGAUACGCUCGUGGAAUGCUGUCUUCUCAAUUGUGGCAGGCAGCAUGUGCCUUUGGCAUGCUUCGGUAUCUACGCACUUCAGACUUUGGCCUGUGGGCUCCCAAUUCGACCCGUCUUGAAACACAAACCAAGGAGUCUGACAUGUGUGCGAGUCAAUGGGCGAGUGAGCCCGUAAGGUGUAAGGAGCUGAUUGGUGGUAUCCCCCCGAGGGGUGCACUGCCGACAGACCUUAAUCUUUUGAGAAGAGUUCAAGUGUGAGCAUAACUGUCGGGACCCGAAAGAUGCUAAACUAUGCCUGAGCGGGGCAAAGCCAGAGAAAACUCUGGUGGAGGCCCGCAGCAAUACUGACGUGCAAAUCAUUCGUCUGAAUUGGGUGUAGGGGUGAAAAACUAAUCAAACCAUCUAGUAGUUGGUUCCCUCUGAAGUUUACCUCAGGAUAGAUGGAGCCCGCGUAUGAGUUCUAUCGGUUAAAACCAAUAAUUACAGGCCUCGAGGGCAUAACGCCCUCGACCAAUUUUCAAACUUUAAAUAGUUAGGACGGCGCGGAUACUUUGUUGAGCCACGCCACGAAAUCAAGAGCUCCAAGUGGGCUAUUUUUGGUAAGCAGAACUAGUGAUGCGGGAUGAACAAGAAGCCAGGUUACGAUGCCAACUGCACGCUAACCUAGAUCCCACAAAGGGUGUUGGUCGAUUAAGAUAGUAGGACGGUAGUCAUAGAAGUCGAAAUCCACUAAAGAGUGUGUAACAACUCACCUUUUGAAUCAAAUAGCCUUGAAAAUAGAUGGCUCUUAUAUGCACGACCUACACCCGGCCGUCGGGGCAAGUUCCAGGCCCCGAUGAGUAGGAGGGUGCAGUGGUCAUUGCAAAACCUUAGGCGCGAGCUCGGGCGGAGCGGCUGUCGGUGCAGAUGUUGGUGGAAGUAGCAAAUAUUCAAAUGAGAACUUUGAAGGCCAAAGAGGGGAGAGGUUUUAUAUGAAUGACACUUGCACAUGGGUUAGUCGAUCGUAAGGGUCGGGGGAACCCCGACAUAUAGCGCAUUUUGCACGUACUUCGAAAGAGAAUUAGGUUAAAAUUCUUGAACUGGGAUGUGGCGGGCGACAGCAACGUUAGAAAGUUCGGAGGCAUCAGCGGGAGCCUCGGGAAGAGUUAUCUUUUCUGUUUAACAGCCUGCCAACACUGGAAUCGGCUCAGCUAGAGGUAGAGUCUAGCGGCUGGAAGAGCACUGCACGUUGCAUGGUGUCUGGUGUACUCCCAGCAGACCUUGAAAAUCCAGAGGACGUAAUGCCGUCCACGCCCGAUCGUACUCAUAACCGCAUCAGGUCUCCAAGGUGAACAUCCUCUGGUCGAUGGAACAAUGUAGGCAAGGGUAGUCGGCAAAAUAGAUCCGUAACUUCAGGAAAAGGAUUGGCUCUGAGGGCUGGGCACUAGGGUCCCAGUCCCAAACCCGUUGGCUGUCGGUGGACUGCUCGAGCUGCUCCCACGGUGAGAGCUGCCGGCUGGGGGACAGACUGGGAAUGGUUCCUUUGGGGGCCUUCCCCGCGCGUCGAACAGCUAACUCAGAACUGAUACGGAUAAGAGAAAUCCGACUGUUAAAUUAAAACAAAGCAUUGCGAUGGUCCCAACGGAUGUUCACGUAAUGUGAUUUAUGCCCAGUGCUCUGAAUGUCAAAGUAAAUAAAUUCAACUAAGCGCGUGUAAACGGGGGGAGUAACUAUGACUCUCUUAAGGUAGCCAAAUGCCUCUUCAUCUAAUUAGUGACGCACAUGAAUGGAUUAAUGAGAUUCCCACUGUCCCUAUCUACUAUCCAGUGAAACCACAACCAAGUGAACGGUCUUGGAAGAAUCAGCAGGGAAAGAAAACCCUGUUGAGCUUGACUCUACUCCGACUUUGUGAAAUGACUUGAGAGGUGUAGUAUAAGUGGGAGCCAAAAAGCGAAAGUGAAAUACCACUACUUUUAACAUUAUUUUACUUAUUCUGUGAGUCAGAACCGGGGCACUGCCCCUCUUUUUGGACCCAAGGCUCUCUUUGCGGGCCGAUCCGGGUGGAAGACAUGUCAGGUGGGGAGUUUGGCUGGGGUGGCACAUCUGUUAAAAGAUAAUGCAGGUGUCCUAAGAUGAGCUCAACGAGAACAGAAAUAUUGUGUCGAAUAGAAGGGUAAUAGCUCGUUUGAUUCUAAUUUCUAGUACGAAUACGAACCAUGAAAGCGUGGCCUAACGAUCCUUUAUACCUUCGAAAUUCGAAGAUAGAGGUGUCAGAAAAGUUAACACAGGGAUAACUGGCUUGUGGCAGCCAAGCGUUCAUAGCGACGUUGCUUUUUUAUCCUUCGAUGUCGGCUCUUUCUAUCAUUGUGAAGCAGAAUUCACCAAGUGUUGGACUGUUCACCCACCAAUAAGGAACGUGAACUGGGUUUAGACCAUCGUGAGAUAUGUUAGUUUUACCCUACUGAUGACAGUGUCACAGUAGUAAUUCAACCUAGUACGAGAGAAACCGUUGAUUCACACAAUUGGUCAUCACACUUGGUUGAAAAGCCAGUGGCGCAAAGCUACCGUGUUCUGGAUUGUGACUGAACGCCUCUAAGUCAAAAUUUGGGCUAAAAGAGAUGCAUGCGCCCACCGUCCGCUUACCGAUCCGCAGUAUGGGCUGCGGCCCCCAAGGGCACAUGUCGUUGGCUAAGCCAUCGCAGUGGAAGAGUCACGAUGGCCGCCUUGAAGUACAAUUUCCAAUGAGCGGCGGGUAUAAUCC